rnacentral:rRNA from 1 species
GAGUUUGAUCCUGGCUCAGGAUAAACGCUGGCGGCGUGCAUGAGACAUGCAAGUCGAACGGACGAUCAGGGCUUGCUCUGAUCGUUAGUGGCGGACGGCUGAGUAACGCGUAGGUGACCUGCCCCGAAGUGGGGAAUAACUGCCCGAAAGGGUGGCUAAUACCGCAUGUGGUGGUGUGUUCAUUCACACCAGUAAAGCCGCAAGGCGCUUCGGGAGGGGCCUGCGUCCGAUUAGCUCGUUGGUGGGGUAACGGCUCACCAAGGCGACGAUCGGUAGGUGGUCUGAGAGGACGAUCACCCAGACUGGGACUGAGACACGGCCCAGACUCCUACGGGAGGCAGCAGUCGGGAAUUUUGCGCAAUGGACGAAAGUCUGACGCAGCAACGCCGCGUGAGGGAUGAAGGCCUUCGGGUUGUAAACCGUCUUUAUUCAGGAAGAUAAUGACGGUACCUGAUGAAUAAGUACACGGCUAACUACGUAGCCAGCAGCCGCGGUAAC